rnacentral:rRNA from 1 species
GUAGGGAAUAUUGGGCAAUGGAGGCAACUCUGACCCAGCCAUGCCGCGUGCAGGAUGACGGCCCUCUGGGUUGUAAACUGCUUUUAUACGGGAAGAAAAAAUACUACGUGUAGUAUACUGACGGUACCGUAAGAAUAAGGAUCGGCUAACUCCGUGCCAGCAGCCGCGGUAAUACGGAGGAUCCAAGCGUUGUCCGGAUUUAUUGGGUUUAAAUGGUGCGUAGGCGGAUCUUUAAGUCAGUGGUGAAAGCCUGCAGCUUAACUGUAGAAUUGCCAUUGAAACUGAAGAUCUUGAAUGUGGUUAAAGUAGGCGGAAUGUAUCAUGUAGCGGUGAAAUGCUUAGAUAUGAUACAGAACACCGAUAGCGAAGGCAGCUUGCUGAACCAUUAUUGACGCUGAGGCACGAAAGCGUGGGGAGCGAACAGGAUUAGAAACCCGAGUAGUCC